rnacentral:rRNA from 1 species
UACAGAGGGUGCAAGCGUUGUUCGGAAUUACUGGGCGUAAAGCGCGUGUAGGCGGCUUAUUAAGUCGGACGUGAAAUCCCUUGGCUCAACCAAGGAACUGCGUCCGAUACUGCUAGGCUUGAGUGUCGGAGGGGGUGGCGGAAUUCCCGGUGUAGAGGUGAAAUUCGUAGAUAUCGGGAGGAACACCUGUGGCGAAGGCGGCCACCUGGAAGACAACUGACGCUGAGACGCGAAAGCGUGGGGAGCAAACAGG